rnacentral:rRNA from 1 species
UACGUAGGGUGCAAGCGUUAAUCGGAAUUACUGGGCGUAAAGCGUGCGCAGGCGGUUCGGAAAGAAAGAUGUGAAAUCCCAGGGCUUAACCUUGGAACUGCAUUUUUAACUGCCGGGCUAGAGUAUGUCAGAGGGGGGUAGAAUUCCACGUGUAUCAGUGAAAUGCGUAGAGAUGUGGAGGAAUACCGAUGGCGAAGGCAGCCCCCUGGGAUAAUACUGACGCUCAUGCACGAAAGCGUGGGGAGCAAACAGG